AACAAUCACUUCGGUGUGCGUUUUUGGGCGUCGAGUGGCGGACGGGUGAGUAACGCGUGGGAAUCUACCCUUUAGUUGGGGACAACAUAUGGAAACGUAUGCUAAUACCGAAUAUGCUCUACGGAGUAAAGGUGGCCUCUACUUGUAAGCUAUCGCUAAAGGAUGAGCCCGCGUUAGAUUAGCUAGUUGGUAAGGUAAAGGCUUACCAAGGCGACGAUCUAUAGCUGGUUUGAGAGGAUGAUCAGCCACACUGGGACUGAGACACGGCCCAGACUCCUACGGGAGGCAGCAGUGGGGAAUAUUGCACAAUGAGGGAAACCUUGAUGCAGCCAUGCCGCGUGUGUGAAGAAGGCCCGAGGGUUGUAAAGCACUUUCAAUUGUGAGGAAGAUUAAGUAGCUAAUACCUGCUUAGUUUGACGUUAACUUUAGAAGAAGCACCGGCUAACUCUGUGCCAGCAGCCGCGGUAAUACAGAGGGUGCAAGCGUUAUUCGGAAUUACUGGGCGUAAAGCGCGCGUAGGCGGACUGUUAAGUCGGUUGUGAAAGCCCUGGGCUCAACCUAGGAACUGCAUCCGAUACUGGCAAUCUAGAGUUUAAGAGAGGGAAGUGGAAUUCCAGGUGUAGCAGUGAAAUGCGUAGAUAUCUG
rnacentral:rRNA from 1 species